UCAGGAGGCUGAGGCAGGAAAAUCCCUUGAAUCCGGGAGGUGGAGGUUGCAGUGAGCCGAGACCAUGCCAUUGCACUCUAGCCUGGGUGACAAAAGCAAAACUCCAUCUCAAAAAAAUAAAUAAAUAAAUAAAGUAAAAUAAAAAGCUUCCCGGAGGGAGGGGAGACUUUAAUUAAAAAAAAAAAAAAAGAUUGAGAAACAUCAGGUUAGAGGAAGAGAUGAGCAAUAAACAAGUUGACCAAAUUAUAUAAAUGCAUCUGAAUCCAUCGGUAUAAUAAUCAAUCAAAUAAUUCAACUAUGCUAAGGGCAGCAGAAGAAUUAAACAGAGUGAUCCGACCAAGAGUAAUGGAAAGAGAGCUACUUUAGCCAGGGUGGUCAGGGAGAGCUUCCUGGAGGAGGCAACCUUUAAGUAAGUUCUGAAAGAUGGAAGCCCAUCACACAGAAAGCCAGAGGCAUUUCGGGUAAAAGGAACAGCAACCACAAAGGUUCACAUGAGCCGUCGCACUGCCCGAGUCAUUAUUUCUACGUCACACAGGCGUUCCCCUCCCCCACCCACCCUCCCACCAGCCUCGUGGGGAGUUCUCUGAGCAUCCAUUUCACAGGGCGGAGAGACGAGCACCUCCCCACAAAUAUUCCUACACAAUCACUCACCCCCACCCUCAUGCCUGUCCAAGGUCCAGUGAGUUUGUCACCCUCCUGGAGUGCCGUGUCCACCCCAGGUGGGCAGGGCUCUGCCCCUCCCACGCCUGGGCAGCUGGGCACCUGGCCUCCCUGCCCAGAGGCUAGGUGCUCUCCCACCAACUCAGGGAACCCAAGAGGGGAGGGAUCAGGAGGCUGGUGCGGAUUCCCACCGGCUCGGUUCCUGGGCCGCUCUUGGCAGCCCCCAUACCCUGGAGUCCAGUUUCCUCUCCGUAAAGCGGGCAUCAUCACGACAGCACCUGCUCCCUAGACCCCAGUGCGGAUUGAAGGAGAGAGAGCAGAAAAGCAGGCUGGCAUCUUCCCGGCUCCCAGCAAGUCUGUGCAGGUGGAAUGGUGGUUGUAAUGAUGCAGGCGGUGGGUUGGAAGUGUGUGUGCCUGUGCUUAUUCUCCGGCUGGGCCUGCGUGGAGGAGGGGUCAGAGGGGGGUCCUCCCAGCUGGACUGACUGAUCCCUGUUGGGGUGUGUCGCGGCCUGGGGACCCUCACUGCCUUCUGGCCCUGGCAGGACUCGCAGGCCUCUGGGGAUGUUAUGGCCACCUGGCAGGUCCCUACCCCUCCCUGCAAGUCUGAGGAUCUGGGGUCACCGCUCAGGGCAGGGCUCUUGCAGGGCACCUUGGGUAGGGCACAGGCAACUCUCAGGGGGAUGACAGGCCUGUCCUGGCAUGCUGGCUGUGUGGAAAGGGGUGCGUGUGACAGUGUUUCUGAGUGUGUGGGUGCACGAGGCUGCAUGUUGGAGCGUGCAUCUGUAUGAGUGUGUGUGUGAGUGAAUGUGCAGGAGUCUGUGUGUGAGCAAGCAUGUGUGUGAAUAUGUGUUUCAGUGUGUGAGGGACUGGAUGCGUGUCAGCGCGUGAGCAUGAGGCUG
rnacentral:lncRNA from 1 species